UACAGAGGUCUCAAGCGUUGUUCGGAAUUACUGGGCGUAAAGGGUGCGCAGGCCGCGCGGGCAGUCAAAUGUGUAAUUCAGGGGCUCAACCCCUGCACUGCGCUUGAUACUUCCGCGCUCGAACCUUGGAGAGGAGUCUGGAAUUCUCGGUGUAGCAGUGAAAUGCGUGGAUAUCGAGAAGAACACUUAGGGCGAAAGCAAGACUCUGGACAAGUGUUGACGCUCAUGCACGAAGGCUAGGGCAGCGAACGGG
rnacentral:rRNA from 1 species